GGUGAACCUUUUCGGGGCGGGAGGACUGGUAAGGUUGAACGACUCGUACGGAUUGAUUGAAAUCGCAAACGCGUGUUGCUGCUCGAAUUUCGUUCCACGAUUUAUUCAAGGUUCUCUUACCGAAUUUAUCGCCAAAGAAAUAUCUAUUCGAAUUGAAAAUAUUAUCAAGUUGCAUUAUUCCUCAUCGAUUUAUAUACACACGACAACGAGGAACGGUAGAUCGUAAAUGGAAGGACGUAGGAGAGGACAAAGCACCCCCAUAAACUAAUAACGAGGCAAAUAUUUGUAAAUGAGCUUUUCUGCGGGACCGGUUGGC